rnacentral:lncRNA from 1 species
GCGCAGGUGCUCGCGACAGGUGCAGGCGGGCAGUGCCCAAUAGCGGGCGGCCCGCGACGCACUGUAACCGGCUCAGCCUCCUUCUAUCACUAUACUGACGGGGGGGCUUCCUUUGCUGCAGGCGUCGCCGGGCUCCGGCUCUAAAAAGCGACUGUCUCCUCCUCGCAAACGCUGCGCAGUUUUGGUUUCCUUGGGAAGUGACGUAAGAAGACGGCGGGACUGCUAACCGCAGAGUGAGGACUAGAUCCACCAGGUACAACUUUUGAAUAGACAGUAUGACUUACGUGCAGUACUGCUGUGGGAUGCCACAGUGAGAUCCAUAACGGGACAGAAAUCUGUUCUCAAGAUCAAUUAUGGUUUCACCUACUUUUUCAUCACGAGUCAAUGUGUCGUAGUCAUAGACCGAAAUUUUCAGAUCUUUUUCUUGAGUACAGCAGAGUUGCAUCACAGACAUUCCAAAGCCCGCAUGUCUCACCAGCCCAUUGUUAUCCUGGGGUUGAAGCUGCAAAGCUCUAACGAUAUAAAUUCGCACAAUACACUCCUGAGGCCCACUGUCUGGUAGCUCACGGAACUGGCGGGGAGGCGCUGGAGUAGUGGGAUCAUCAGGUGUCCCUUGAAAUAAUGCACUUCUUUGCUUUGUGAAGUAAUGGUUAUGGAAAAAGAGUAAAUCCAAAUCUUUGGGCCUUCUUUUAAGAUUAUCAAAACAAAUAAUGAGUCCUCUGGAUUUGGAUACUAUUGCUGAAGUGAUGAUACCUCCAAUUACAACACAAGAAGGCUGGUCAGCAGUACAGUAUGCACACUAAACAUCAUCAGUUGGAUAUUCUAGCAUCCCACGGGAAAGCAUAACUUGUCUUCUUGGAGCUUUUUACCUUUCAGUUGUGGAGCAAUGUCUUCUUCAGUAGUGUAUGGGUCACAGCGAAAGCUUUCCAGUAAAUCAAUAGUACACUGUCCCACAAUGGGCUUUCGUCCAAAUGGUCUAUGGUCUAUCACUUUAAUAACAAGAGAGGGAGUGUACAACUCCUCUUUUGGCAAAAGCUAAAAGCAAAAGGUUAGAGUUGGAUUAUAAUAGACACAGAACAACAAUGAAUAACAAAGUUGCUUCUCCCCUAAACUAGAGCUAUUAGGUAAAUUAGUAUUAACCUAGUACAUUUUAAGAGAAGAGGGUGAACUAAAUUACUGACCACAUAAAAUGAUGCAGUAAAAGAUAAAAAGAAUUCUCCUCAUUGCCUCAAUCCAUAAAGAUACAAGAACACUCAACAACCCUCAUGUCAGCAAUAGAAAAGUAGUCAUGCUUCUAAAUGUAAACAGAUGUUUACUCAAGUACAUACACAGG